rnacentral:lncRNA from 1 species
AUGCUUCCCGCCUUUGGGAGCUGGCUCAGGGCCCACUUUCAAUUACUAGUACCUGGCAUUAUGAUCCUGCUCCUCCAAAAGGCAGAGGUGCUGUCUCACUUCUCUGCAAGGCUGGCAUUCAGCAAAAGCUCCCUUGCAAAAGCCAGGCUGUGUCCAACCCUGAUCUGUUCCCUUGCCAGGAUGCCCAUGGCCAAGGCCCCCCAAGCGGCUGGCGGGCAGGGUGAUGGAGGUGAUGGCGAAGAGGCAGAGCCGGAAGGGAUGUUCACGGCCCCCAAGGACACGAAGAGAAAAGUCCGAGACUGCCUCCGCCUGGCUCCUCUGUGGCUGGCUCUGGUCAUGUUGGCUUCAGUGGGGCUCCUGCUCUGGUAUUUCCUAGGGUACAAGGCAGAGGUGACAGUCAGCCAGGUGUACUCAGGCAGCCUCCGCGUGCUCAAUCGCCACUUCUCCCAGGACCUUGCCCGCCGGGAGUCCAGUGCCUUCCGCAGUGAAACUGCCAAAGCUCAGAAGAUGCUCAAGGAGCUCAUUGCCAGCACCCCCCUAGGUACUUACUACAACUCCAGUGCCGUCUACUCCUUUGGGGAAGGACCAUUCACCUGCUUCUUCUGGUUCAUCCUCCAAAUCCCGGAGCACCGCCGGCCAAUGCUGAGCCCCGACGUGGUGCGGGCCCUGCUGGCGGAGGAGCUGCUGUCUGCUGCCAACAGCUCGGUCCCCGCUCCCUAUCGGACCGAGUACGAGGUGGACCCCGAGGGCCUGGUGAUCCUGGAAGCCAGCGUGAAAGACAUAGUUGCACUGAAUUCCACGCUGGGCUGCUACCGCUACAGCUACGUGGGCCAGGGCCAGGUCCUCCGGCUGAAGGGGCCCGACACCCUGGCCUCCAGCUGCCUGUGGCACCUUCAGGGCCCCCAGGAUCUCAUGCUCAAACUCCGGCUCGAGUGGAAGCUGGCUGACUGCCGGGACCGGCUGGCCAUGUAUGACGCGGCGGGGCCUCUCGAGAGGAGGCUCAUCACCUCGGUCUACGGCUGCAGUCGCCAGGAGCCUGUGGUGGAGGUCCUGGCCUCAGGCGCCAUCAUGGCGGUGGUCUGGAAGAAGGGCCUUCACAGCUACUACGACCCCUUCGUGCUCUCCGUGCAGCCUGUGACCUUCCAGGCCUGCGAGGUGAACCUGACCCUGGAGGGCCGGCUGGAGCCGCAGGGUGUCCUCAGCACACCGUACUUCCCCAGCUACUACUCACCCAGCACCCACUGCUCCUGGCACCUGACGGUGCCCUCUCUGGACUACGGCUUGGCUCUCUGGUUUGACGCCUAUGCACUGCGGAGGCAGAAAUACGACAUGCCAUGCACCCAAGGCCAGUGGACCAUCCAAAACAGAAGGCUGUGUGGCCUGCGCACCCUGCAGCCCUACGCUGAGAGGAUCCCUGUGGUGGCCAGCGCCGGCAUUACCAUCAACUUCACGUCCCAGAUCUCCCUCACCGGGCCCGGCGUGCAGGUGCACUAUAGCCUGUACAACCAGUCAGAUCCCUGCCCUGGAGAGUUCCUCUGCUCCGUGAACGGACUCUGUGUGCCCACCUGUGAUGGGGUCAAGGAUUGCCCCAACGGCCUGGAUGAGAGAAACUGCGUCUGCAGAGCCACAUUCCAGUGCCAGGAGGACAGCACGUGCAUCCCCCUGUCCAGGGUCUGUGACCGGCAGCCCGACUGUCUCAACGGGAGUGAUGAAGAGCAGUGCCAGGAAGGGGUGCCUUGUGGGACCUUCACCUUUCAGUGUGAGGACCGCAGCUGUGUGAAGAAGCCCAACCCGCAGUGUGACGGGCACCCCGACUGCACGGACGGCUCGGACGAGCAGCGCUGCGACUGUGGCCUUCAGGGCCCCUCGGGCCGCAUCGUGGGCGGGGCCGUGUCCUCGGAGGGUGAGUGGCCGUGGCAGGCCAGCCUCCAGGUUCGUGGCCGACACAUCUGUGGGGGGGCCCUCAUCGCUGACCGCUGGGUGAUCACUGCUGCCCACUGCUUCCAGGAGGAAAGGGGCUGUGCGAGACACUGGGGUAGAGCUGAGAACAGAAUUCCUGCCCUGGUCAGAGGUCGUGACACCCUUCUCCAGCAUGGCAUCCCCGGCGCUGUGGACCGUGUUCCUGGGCAAAGUGUGGCAGAGCUCACGCUGGCCGGGCGAGGUGUCCUUCAAGGUGAGCCGCCUGCUCCUGCACCCGUACCACGAGGAGGACAGCCACGACUACGACGUGGCCCUGCUGCAGCUCGACCACCCCGUGGUGCGCUCGGCCGCCGUGCAGCCCAUCUGCCUGCCUGCCCGCUCCCACUUCUUCGAGCCGGGCCUGCACUGCUGGAUCACAGGCUGGGGUGCCCUGCGAGAAGGCGGCCCCACCAGCAACGGCCUGCAGAAGGUGGACGUGCAGCUGAUCCCGCAGGACCUGUGCAGCGAGGCCUACCGCUACCAGGUGACACCCCGCAUGCUGUGUGCCGGCUACCGCAACGGCAAGAAGGAUGCCUGCCAGGGUGACUCAGGUGGCCCGCUGGUGUGCAAGGAGCCCAGUGGCCGUUGGUUCCUGGCAGGGCUUGUCAGCUGGGGUCUGGGCUGCGGCCGGCCCAACUAUUUUGGCGUCUACACCCGCAUCACUGGUGUGAUAAGCUGGAUCCAGCAG